GCGUCAGUAGUGCAACGGUUUAGAACAUGCGCUUCCGGAUAGAGUGAGAUGCGGGUUCGAGCCCCGGCUGAAGCG